rnacentral:circRNA from 1 species
GUUCUUCUACAUUGACCCACACUACCUCCACUGGUGAGUUAGAGGAGCAUAACAGGACUACCACUGGUGCUAUUGCUGUUGCUAGCACACCUGCAGAUGUUACUGUAUCCAGUGUUACAGCUGUCACCAUCCAUAGACUUUCCGAGGAACAGCGAGUGCAAGUUACGAGUCUCAGAAAUUCAGGUCUGGACCCCAACACGUCCAAGGACGGGCUCUCUCCUCAUCCAGCAGAUACACAAAGUACCAGGAGAAGACCAAGACAUGCUGAACAGAUAGAAAGAACUAAAGAGCUUGCAGUUGUUACUCAUAGAGUGAAAAAGGCCAUAGAUUUUAAAUCUAGAGGAUUUAAAUUGUUUCCAGGGAAAGACAACAGCAACAAGUUUUCUAUCUUAAAUGAGGGAGGUAUUAAAACAGCUUCCAAUUUAUGCCCAGAUCCAGGAGAACCAGAAAAUGGGAAGAGAAUCGGAUCAGAUUUUAGCCUUGGAUCAACUGUGCAGUUCUCUUGUGAUGAAGAUUAUGUCCUACAGGGCGCAAAGAGCAUCACCUGUCAACGGAUAGCUGAAGUUUUUGCUGCUUGGAGUGAUCACAGGCCUGUGUGUAAAG